UACGUAGGGUGCAAGCGUUGUCCGGAAUUACUGGGCGUAAAGCGUGCGUAGGUGGUGAGUUAAGUCUGUCGUGAAAGCCCCGGGCUCAACCUGGGAAUGGCGAUGGAUACUGGCUCGCUAGAGUGCGGUAGAGGAGAGUGGAAUUCCCGGUGUAGCAGUGAAAUGCGUAGAGAUCGGGAGGAACAUCAGUUGCGAAGGCGGCUCUCUGGACCAGCACUGACACUGAGGCACGAAAGCGUGGGGAGCAAACAGG
rnacentral:rRNA from 1 species